GGAAUCAACACAGUAAAGGAGGAGACUAUAUUUAAAAGAAGAAAAACUACCACAACAAGAGGACAUAGUCUUAAAUUAGAGGGACAAAGGUUUAAAAAUAAUAUCAGGAAGUAUUACUUUACUGAGAGGGUAGUGGAUGCAUGGAAUAGCCUUCCAGCUGAAGUGGUAGAGGUUAACACAGUAAAGGAGUGUAAGCAUGCGUGGGAUAGGCAUAAGGCUAUCCUAACUAUAAGAUAAGGCCAGGG